UUAGAGUAUGGACAGAUUAAACCAGAUAUGGUCUCUUAGCUGAGCAAUAUAUAAGGAGUCAAAAGUGUGGAGUCUGUAUGAUCUUUUCUGGAGGAUCCGUCAUACAUUUGCAUCUUGUUUCUGUCUUUAAUCCCCCAAUUUAACUUGUCAUAUAUCAUUCUUCCUGCUGUGUGUCUUAUCAAACACUAGGUGGCAGCCUCAUUACAUUAGUGGCACAGAAGUACAACUACACCUGGUUUAACUGCACAGUUCCAUGAAAUAUUCAUAAAAUUGUUAAAUUAUAAGUUAUGAAUAAUUAAUAGCAAAAAAAAAAUGUCUUCUCGGUUAAUGCUAUUUUGGAGGAUAAAAACCAUCCUGGUUUAUGUUUCCUGACCUCUGCAUAACUCAUCAUCACAUGACCUUAGCUUAGUUCCUAGUUCAUUGAAAUCUUGCAUCAGCGCGGAAAAUCUCUUUAAAAAGGUUUCAUCCAUCAGUUGUUUAUAACAGGCACGAUUUAGAUUGACAAACUUUAAAAUAUGUGAUUUCGAGGGUCAUUUUCUGCAUGUUAAAACAAGCGUGUUGGUAUUUUUAAAAUUAAGCGGUGCCACUGGUUUCCGGUUGAGGACGUCAGCCCAGUCCAUCAUUUGGCGGGUAACAAAGGAGCAGCGUGCAGGCGAUGUGGGAACAACGGAAAACUAUAAUUUGGCGGUGGUGUUGUACGUAGUAUAUUUUUAACUGGUUAUGUUUUUAAGGUUUUGAACGGCUCGAUGAUGAAGAAAUGAUGUCAGUAGGGCACAGAUUGUUUUUUUUUUUUGUUUUUUUUUAUCUCUCUUGUAAUCUGUUCAGAGUAAUGGCGUCAAACCAUUUGCCGGUCAUUCACCCAGCAAUAAUGUUAUAGGUAACACAAGGGAAGCAGUUUAUCAUUGUUGUAUUGUUAUUUAUCAGAUUUAACUUAGGCAUUAAAGUUUGUGUGAGGCAAGUUUACAUGUAAAAGUCUAAUAUGUAGUCUAACAAGUAUUUAACGUCAUGAUUUGUAUCUAUAGUGUUAUUAUUUUUAACAGGUUUUCUAACUUUAUUUUAAGUAACGCUGUACACCUUGACUGCAAGGCCACCAGCAAUGGUAACCGGAUGCUUUACGGCGUAUCGAACUGAUCUCAUCCCUUAGACUUCAAGGGAGCUCAGUGUGACUACUGGUGGAACGAUGGAAAUAUCAUGCUUGCAACCAAUUUCAGCAACAACAAAAGUACACUGGUGAUGAGUCACAGCUUUGACACUCUGGAGGUCUCUGGAUGCCUUUCAAAGGUCUCCUGGAUUCAACAGUGCUGGUUACACUGGUUACAGAUGAGGGGCCUGAUAUAUUAUGAAGCGAACUGUAGCACAACAUGUGUCAGCAAGGACUUGCUUCAUGAAGACAACACUACCCCUAAAGAUGAAGGUGAAACACUGAAUUUAUUUCUCAUCAUAUGGUGCUUGAUGACAGAGAGUAGGAAAAGGAACUGUGUGAGAUGUUCAAAUUAUGUGAUGCUAUCUGUUGCUAAAUGGACAGUCACACUUUGGGAAUGGAGCUAUUAUUGGAUCCCUGGGACUGGUAGUACCGAUCAUUUACCUGGUCUACAAAUUCAGAAAACACAGGAUGCUUAGCUGCAGCCUCUCUGGACGUCAGUACAGCAAUGUGUAACAGGAAAAUCAUCUUCCAGGACAAUCCAACGUGUAGAAGGGAGGAUUUCUGCUCAAAGAGUUUUCCUGAUUUCCUUUGUGUCCAUUUUCCACUAGAUAUUUCUUCUGCAUUAUUACUAUAGAUGAAAUCAUGAAACUUUAAAUGAUUUAUGGACUAAUAGCUGACAUAGUUGUCUACACUCCUUAGCUACAACCUAAACUACUGUCUGUUACCAACUACUACUAUCUGCACACUACUACUGUUAGUAAACACUCCCCUAUAUGUAUUUAUGCUUUUUUAUUACCAGGCUUUCCUGUUAUAACUACAUACAUUGAUUAGAUGUUUUAAAACAAUAUUUACCUUAAAAUAACUUUUUUUUAGCAAGCAAAGCCAUAAGUUAUGUGCCAUUUAUUUGAGAAAUAGGAUUUCUCCAAUUUAAACAACAAAGGUUCCCAUCUUGUCCUUUAUUUGUUUUGAAAUUGGAUCUUCGACCACAAAUGCCAGAUUUGUUUUGCACACAGAUCACUAUUAAUGUUUCAUAUUUAAUUAGCUUGUCCACCUUGAUGUUUUAGAGGCUGUGGAAGCCUCUUUGCUGCACCAGUGUGUGCCCUCUGAGAGCCAUUGGCAGUGUUGUAGUUUCCCCAGGUCCCCUCUGAACUCCCCCCUCCUUCAGCUGGAACUAACACUUAAAGCUGUGGAAGCUUGGAGACCAAGUAAAACACCAAGGAAUGUUCCUUCAGCGUCCUGCAGCAUUAUGACUUAUGUUAUUAAAUUAUAUAUUGUGUAUAUAACCUAUUCACUUAAAAGUAAUAGCUGAUAUUAUUGAUAGCUGUUAAUAUAACACAAGAUAAAAGCAUUAAUUAUGAUUAUAUAGUAUGACGUACAUACAGGAGGCUUGUAUGUGCAGUGAUGGUACUGUCCUCAUUGCAUUCAUUCUAGUGUAAUGAGAUCAUGUCCACUCAUUUUUUAUCACUGUAUCACCUUUCAUAAACCUCUCUUUAUUCUCAUUUUUAUUAUAUCUUAUUAAAUAAUCAUGCUGUUAGACAAAAAGUGUCUGUGCUUUGUAGUAGCCAGUGUACAGUUCGGGUUAAAAGCUUGCUUCACUCAUCAUCUUUGCUUUUUAUUAGAUUUUGGUAGAAUGGUUACAUAACCAUAAAUGUCCAUUUUAAAAUAAGUACCGGAUGAACAAGUUUAAAUUUAUCAUGACUUUUCACUGAUUCACACAUGGUCAAAUAGGCAGUUAUAUUCAAUAAAUUUGAAUGUUCUGAUGCAGCUUGUUUGUCAGAUUUAAAGUAACAGGUUUCAUUAAGCCCACAUUUCUGUAUUGAAUGCUUUUUUUUUUAUUGAUCUGGUGUAAUCUAAUCUUAAAUGUUUUUCUUUAGCUGUAAGUACAACAUAAAGGCCUGAAAGCAUCA